GGUUAGGGUUAGGGUCUUGGGUUGGGGUCAGGGCCAGGCUUGAGAUAAAGUUCAGGUCAGAGUAUGGGUCUGCGUCAGGCGCAGUGUCACGUUCAGUGCCACUGUUUGGGUCAGGAACUGUUGUCAUUCCAUAUCGUUUCCCAUUAAGUGUUCUUUAGCUAUUUUUGGAGAAGUUGGGGGAUAUUGGGCUCCAUUCAGCUUGAAUUUUCAGAAUUUAACGGACUCAGCUGGACCCAGGGAGGGAGCAGGUGCUUCCAUGAACGGUGAGCUCACCUAGUCCUGCACUGCCUCCACCGCCUGCAGAGGGCGCAGGACCCCAGCUCCCACCCGCAGCCGGGCAUGCGCAGACGCUGUGAUGGGAGCCUGGUCUCCUCAGGACCCGCUGUGGAGGCUUCGGGGGAAUGUGAGGGCAGCGUCCACGCUGACAGGAGCUCGGCCUCCUCAGGACCCGCCGGGGGAGGACAAGUUUGGCCCCUUCUGCAAGAGGUGGCAUUCUGCAUAUGCACAAUUGCACUUUUUACCCCAGGACAGUGGAUUCUCACUGGUGUCAAAGGUAAAGCUGGACACUACCUGAAACUGUAAGGAUCGAUUUUAUUGAGUAAUAAGUAUUGCAAUAGGGGAGAGAAUCCAGCGUGAACUGAACUUAACUCCCCCGAAACAAAGGGCAGCAGGCUUUUUAAACGCUUGGGUGUGCUUGGGAAAGGCACUGAAGGGUUAAAAGAAGGGUUUGGUGCACAUGACCAGGCCAUCUGGUUUUGCUCAUUGGAGCAUAUCCAGAGAAGCAAACGUCUAUAUUUAUGACAGGGGCACUGGUGCAAGUUGGACCAGGCACCCACCCAAGUGAGGCCCUAUCCUCCUGCACAGACCAAGAGUGAGAGGCCAAAGAGAUGGCCUUCAGGGCCUUGAGGAGACAGUUUUGGGUAGUAGAAGAUUCACAUUUCAGAGGGCAGGGAGAGGAUUUAUAAGUGCAAGCUUCUAAAGGAGCUGCUCUAACAGGCGUCCUACGUGCUUCUCUGCUUAUCACUAGGUUUUGGUUGGAACAAACAGUAAAUUUUCCCAGCAACUUUGAGUUUACCCCUGCCGGCACUUUAGUGGGGGGUGGGACGGGAUGGGGGCUGGGGUCGUUCUGGGGACACAGCCUUAAGAUGCUGGAAGCCAUGCUAGAGUUUGGUCAGGUCUCUGAGCGCCAGGGUUUGGACAGAGAGGUUAUGGGCCAAGAGUUCUAUAAUUCUCAUGGGUAACACCUUGAAAAUAAAUUUCUCCCACUUGUGCGACAGGUUCACCAUCAGACUCUGGUUGACUGGUCGGUUGACACCUGGAAAAGCUGAAACCUGAGAACCUCUUGUUUUCACCUUUCUGUUUCUGUGUAUGCAUCCUUUCUACAUAUACCACUAAAUCCGCACUUACUCUAUGUGGUGACCACUGUAGGGAUACAGAUUGCCAAAUGUAUUCCAUUCUGGAAAGAAUUUUCACUUGGGAAAGGCUCUCAAGAAAGUUUGAGUCUAGACUAUAAAUUGAUGAGGUGGUCGUAUUUUUUACUCUUGGAAUUUCUCAGUGUUUUUAAAUUUGGCUGUUUCUGUGCAUUUUACUGUCUCCCGUGUGACCUAAUCAGUGCUGGAGACUCUGGGCCAAGCAGGACACUGUCAGUUGUCCAAGAGCGGAGUUGCUGAAGGAGUCCCGCCUGCUUCAUUGGAAGAUACCACUGGAAGAGGGCUGGAAAAUGGUUCUGUCUGCAGUUUGGAACUUGUCAUUUCCGAGACAAACAGGGCUUCCCUCUGAAGUUAAAUGACAUUGUUUGGCACACAUAAUGUGAACUCUUGGGAGAGUUUAGACAACCUGGUGAGGUCUGAUUUGACUUGAAACCUGGAACAUGGCUUUGUUGUUAUAUUUGGCUUGUGGUUUGAUUUAAGGGUCAGCAUUACUGACUGCUCUCCCCAGUGCACUUCCAGCGCUCUGAGGCCUGGAAGGAGAGGAAUUUGCCCUGAUGGUCUGGGGAAAGAACCACAGACCCAAACUGAACAGGGACAGGACCAUGUCAUGGCUCGUCAGUUGUCUGGUUACACUCAUUUGAAUAGCACACCCCACAGGGAUUCAAGGUUAGAACACCACAUGUAGGGGCGUCUUGGUGGCUCAGUUGGCGAAGCAUCUGCCUUCAGCUCAGGUCAUGAUCUCAGGGUCCUGGGAUCGAGUCCUGCAUGGGGCUUUCUGCUCAGCAGGGAGUCUGCUUCUCCCUCUGCCCCUCCCCGUUCAUUCUCUCUCUUUCCCUCUCUCUCUCUUGCUUUUUCUCUUAAAUAAAGAAAACCUUAAACACACACAUACCACAUAUAGUGAGCAUUUGCUUAAGACCUAAUGUAAGUUUGUCCAAACAAACCCGAGCCCUUUAACUUUGCCAGGAAACAGAUAAUAAAAAUGUUUCUCAGGGUUAUAGUUUGUGCCCCAUUGUCAUUGUCAAAUGCAGUGAACUGGCUGGGGCUCCUCAGGCACCCAGUAAGCCUGCAGCUGGGAAGGCAGGCCAUCCCUCAGCGGGCACCACAGUGGGAUUGGAGAGAGGAAUAAACAUGCACAAUUCCUACAACAGGAAAGGUCCUCACGGGAUCUGCUGGUCCGGAAGUACAAGUGGUCAAAAUUCUCACGUACUGUGCUCCAUACCCUGAAGUAGGGAUGUGGAGAGGAGACCUGGCAGAGAAGACACGUAACAAAAUCCUUGAAGUACAGCAUGCUGAGUGUCGGGCCCGCUAUUCUGAAAUGAAACAGAAUAGUGUCCCUGCUCUGACAAAGCUGAAUUUUAGCGUGGGAACACUUCAGAAAGGACACAUAAAUAUGCCAUAAAGUGAUAUGUUCUGUGCAUAAAAAAAUACACGGUGCAGGUAGGCAUGUGAGGUGCAGGACGCUGGUGGACAGUGGGGACUGAACUGAAUCUCAGGUCCACAGCUAAGUGACUGUGACCUUGUGCAAGUUUCUCCACCUCUCGGCACAUCCUCGGUAAAGCAGACUCUGAUAGUACCUGCCUCAUCAGCUGUUGUGCGAGUUAUGUGACUUCAGUGUGUAAAGCACUCGCAACAUAGAACAAAUACUCAAUAGUAAGUGUGCCUGAUGUAGUGAGUCCCAAGUACUAGCUGUUAACUGCAAGUGGAGUGUGAGAAAAAGGGACUCACCCAGGACUUGAAGGUUUGCAGCCUUUGGACCACAACUGUAAAUGCCAUGUCGUUAGGAAGCACCGAGGAGUGUGUCCGCCGUGCAGGGGUGCACACAUCUGGAAGGCUGUCAGACAGGUGCGCCUUGAAUUGAGGUCUUAGAGGCCUCUGCUAACCGAUCAGCAGCAUGGGAUUCCCCAAGAAUACUUACCUCCUCCUGAAGUUUCUCAAGCCAAUGAGCAGGAAGGUACAGCACUGCCAUCCCACUGCUGUAUCCUUUCCCUGGGGAGCACAUGCCAUCCGCAGCCCCAAUCCCCCCAGCUCCCCUCCUCACCAUCCCUCCCCAACCAGAGUCCUGAGCUCCUUGUAACAGGCCACCUCCAGACGGGCUGAGGGGUGCCUGCUGUGGCCUGUGUUAGGAUGCAGUGCCCCCCACCCCUGGCUCUGCCACCCUCUAGGCUCCCUGUGUCUUCUUGCCAGCCCUUCAUGGGGUCCCCCCUUCCCUUCUGGAUCAACCCAACUUUUCUGUGAGAUGCAUAAUGGAAUGAUACAGGUUUAUGCAUCACUGUUCUUAUGAACCCCUUCCCCAGUAUUUCCUGGGACCAUGACCCGAAACACAGGUAAGAACAGACUCCCAGCUUUCCAGUUUGCAUUAGCCAUUUGCCAUUUUCCUGCUUUCCGCUCCCACAGCAGCUUCGGUGAGCCUUGUGCAGGGCCUGCCCCCCCUUCCACAGUGCCUUACAGUUCAGAAUUCCCAGUGCACUUAGUUUAGCUCCAGGCCUGAGAGUCACUGCUUGGUUACUCCUGUGAGGUAACUAGUGGGUGGGUACGUGCAGUCCAUGUCCAGAGUGACAGCCCUGCUGUCUGCUGACCACUCAGAGGCCCUGGGUUGCUGGCACAUCUUGUCUUCACAGAGUCUGUUCAGGUGGACACAUGGAUCCCGUUCUCUGUUUGUCACUCCUGCUUGUUGCCACCUUGCUUCCUUGACCCUUCUGCCCACGGCUCUUCCUUCAGCGCCAACCCCCUCUCCUUGAAUCCUAGGAAAUGUGAGCUCCUUCACAAUGUCUUAACAAAGUCACCCUCCUCCACCCAAAGUGGGGGGCAACGGGAAGCUGAGGGGCCAAGAAAAUCUUCUGUAACAAAUCUUUUUAAUAUAGUGAAUGAACAUGAAGAGGAAAAGGGAGCCUCAGUGAGACCUGUAGAAUGGAGGUGCUGUCACUCCAGAUUUGCUUGUUUUUUUAAUAAAGAUUUAUUUAUUUAGAGAGAGAGUGUGUGUGUGGGAGGGUAGGGGCAGAGGGAGAGGGAGAGAGAGAUCUCCAGCAGACUCCAUGCUGAGUGUGGAGCCCGAUGUGGGGCUCGAUCUCAUGACGCUGAGAUCGUGACCUGAGCCAAAACCAAGAGUUAGACACUUAACCGACUGAGCCACCCAGGCGCCCCCCCCCUUUUUUUAAUAAUCCAGAUUUGCUUGAAAAGAAGUCACAGGUACUUAAAAGACCCCCUGUGAGAAGGGAGG
rnacentral:lncRNA from 1 species